CGUGUUCGAAAGGGAAACAGCCCAGACCACCAGCUAAGGUCCCAAAAUAUAUGUUAAGUGGAAAAGGAUGUGGCGUUGCCCAGACAACUAGGAUGUUGGCUUAGAAGCAGCCAUCAUUUAAAGAGUGCGUAAUAGCUCACUAGUCGAGUGACACUGCGCCGAAAAUGUACCGGGGCUAAACAUAUUACCGAAGCUGUGGAUUGUCCUUUGGACAAUGGUAGGAGAGCGUUCUAAGGGCGUUGAAGCAUGAUCGUAAGGACAUGUGGAGCGCUUAGAAGUGAGAAUGCCGGUGUGAGUAGCGAAAGACGGGUGAGAAUCCCGUCCACCGAUUGACUAAGGUUUCCAGAGGAAGGCUCGUCCGCUCUGGGUUAGUCGGGUCCUAAGCUGAGGCCGACAGGCGUAGGCGAUGGAUAACAGGUUGAUAUUCCUGUACCACCUAUAAUCGUUUUAAUCGAUGGGGGGACGCAGUAGGAUAGGCGAAGCGUGCGAUUGGAUUGCACGUCUAAGCAGUAAGGCUGAGUAUUAGGCAAAUCCGGUACUCGUUAAGGCUGAGCUGUGAUGGGGAGAAGACAUUGAGUCUUCGAGUCGUUGAUUUCACACUGCCGAGAAAAGCCUCUAGAUAGAAAAUAGGUGCCCGUACCGCAAACCGACACAGGUAGUCAAGAUGAGAAUUCUAAGGUGAGCGAGCGAACUCUCGUUAAGGAACUCGGCAAAAUGACCCCGUAACUUCGGGAGAAGGGGUGCUCUUUAGGGUUAACGCCCAGAAGAGCCGCAGUGAAUAGGCCCAAGCGACUGUUUAUCAAAAACACAGGUCUCUGCUAAACCGUAAGGUGAUGUAUAGGGGCUGACGCCUGCCCGGUGCUGGAAGGUUAAGAGGAGUGGUUAGCUUCUGCGAAGCUACGAAUCGAAGCCCCAGUAAACGGCGGCCGUAACUAUAACGGUCCUAAGGUAGCGAAAUUCCUUGUCGGGUAAGUUCCGACCCGCACGAAAGGCGUAACGAUUUGGGCACUGUCUCAACGAGAGACUCGGUGAAAUCAUAGUACCUGUGAAGAUGCAGGUUACCCGCGACAGGACGGAAAGACCCCGUGGAGCUUUACUGUAGCCUGAUAUUGAAAUUCGGCACAGCUUGUACAGGAUAGGUAGGAGCCUUUGAAACGUGAGCGCUAGCUUACGUGGAGGCGCUGGUGGGAUACUACCCUAGCUGUGUUGGCUUUCUAACCCGCACCACUUAUCGUGGUGGGAGACAGUGUCAAGCGGGCAGUUUGACUGGGGCGGUCGCCUCCUAAAAGGUAACGGAGGCGCUCAAAGGUUCCCUCAGAAUGGUUGGAAAUCAUUCAUAGAGUGUAAAGGCAUAAGGGAGCUUGACUGCGAGACCUACAAGUCGAGCAGGGUCGAAAGACGGACUUAGUGAUCCGGUGGUUCCGCAUGGAAGGGCCAUCGCUCAACGGAUAAAAGCUACCCCGGGGAUAACAGGCUUAUCUCCCCCAAGAGUUCACAUCGACGGGGAGGUUUGGCACCUCGAUGUCGGCUCAUCGCAUCCUGGGGCUGUAGUCGGUCCCAAGGGUUGGGCUGUUCGCCCAUUAAAGCGGUACGCGAGCUGGGUUCAGAACGUCGUGAGACAGUUCGGUCCCUAUCCGUCGUGGGCGUAGGAAAUUUGAGAGGAGCUGUCCUUAGUACGAGAGGACCGGGAUGGACAUACCUCUGGUGUACCAGUUGUCGUGCCAACGGCAUAGCUGGGUAGCUAUGUGUGGACGGGAUAAGUGCUGAAAGCAUCUAAGCAUGAAGCCCCCCUCAAGAUGAGAUUUCCCAACUUCGGUUAUAAGAUCCCUCAAAGAUGAUGAGGUUAAUAGGUUCGAGGUGGAAGCAUGGUGACAUGUGGAGCUGACGAAUACUAAUCGAUCGAAGACUUAAUCAA
rnacentral:rRNA from 2 species